rnacentral:rRNA from 1 species
UACAGAGGUCCCGAGCGUUGUUCGGAUUCACUGGGCGUAAAGGGUGCGUAGGCGGUCGGGUAAGUCUGAUGUGAAAUCUCACAGCUUAACUGUGAAACUGCAUUGGAUACUAUUCGGCUUGAGAGUUGGAGGGGGGGACUGGAAUUCUUGGUGUAGCAGUGAAAUGCGUAGAUAUCAAGAGGAACACCAGUGGCGAAGGCGAGUCCCUGGACAACUUCUGACGCUGAGGCACGAAAGCUAGGGGAGCAAACAGG